UCGAACGGUAGUCCCUUCGGGGAUGAGAGUGGCGCACGGGAUGCGUAACACGUGGGUAAUCUGCCUUUGAGUUGGGGACAACCUUGGGAAACCAGGGCUAAUACCCGAUACGUCUCUUGGAGGUGCGCCUUUGAGAGAGAAAGACCCGCAAGGGUUGCUCGAAGAUGAGCUCGCGUCCCAUCAGCUAGUUGGCGAGGUAAUGGCUCACCAAGGCGAAGACGGGUAACUGGUCUGAGAGGAUGAUCAGUCACACUGGAACUGAGACACGGUCCAGACUCCUACGGGAGGCAGCAGUGGGGAAUAUUGCGCAAUGGGCGGAAGCCUGACGCAUCCACUACCGCGUUGAGCGAUGAAGGUCUUCGGAUCGUAAAGCUCUGUGGGGAGAGAAGAAUAGACCACGUGAAGAGCGUGGGAUGACGGUAUCUCCUUAUCAAGCACCGGCUAACUCUGUGCCAUCAUCCGCGGUAUUACACAGGGUGCAAACGUUGCUCGCAAUUAUUGGGCG
rnacentral:rRNA from 1 species